rnacentral:rRNA from 1 species
AUUGAACGCUGGCGGCAGGCCUAACACAUGCAAGUCGAACGAGUGGCGGACGGGUGAGUAAUGUCUGUGAAACUGCCUGAUGGAGGGGGAUAACUACUGGAAACGGUAGCUAAUACCGCAUACCAUCGGAUGUGCCCAGAUGGGAUUAGCUAGUAGGUAGGGUAAAGGCUCACCUAGGCGACGAUCCCUAGCUGGUCUGAGAGGAUGACGAGCCACACUGGGACUGAGACACGGCGCAGACGCCUACGGGAGGCAGCAGUGGGGAAUAUUGCACAAUGGGCGCAAGCCUGAUGCAGCCAUGCCGCGUGUAUGAAGAAGGCCUUAGGGUUGUAAAGUACUUGCAGCGGGGAGGCAUUACCCGCAGAAGAAGCACCGGCUAACUCCGUGCCAGCAGCCGCGGUAAUAC